GACGAACGCUGGCGGCGUGCUUAACACAUGCAAGUCGAACGGUGAAGGCGGAGCUUGCUCUGCCGGAUCAGUGGCGAACGGGUGAGUAACACGUGGGCAACCUGCCCCUCACUUCGGGAUAACUCCGGGAAACCGGGGCUAAUACCGGAUACGACCUCCUUGGGCAUCUUUGGAGGUGGAAAGUUUUUCGGUGAGGGAUGGGCCCGCGGCCUAUCAGCUUGUUGGUGAGGUAGUGGCUCACCAAGGCGACGACGGGUAGCCGGCCUGAGAGGGCGACCGGCCAAGCGGGGACUGCGACACGGCCCAGACUCCUACGGGAGGCAGCAGGGGGGAAUAUUGCGCAAGGGGGGAAAGCCUGACGCAGCAACGCCGCGUGGGGGAUGAAGGCCUUCGGGUUGUAAACCGCUUUCAGCAGGGAAGAAGCCGCAAGGUGACGGUACCUGCAGAAGAAGCACCGGCUAACUACGUGCCAGCAGCCGCCGUAA
rnacentral:rRNA from 1 species